rnacentral:rRNA from 1 species
AUUGAACGCUGGCGGCAUGCCUUACACAUGCAAGUCGAACGGUAACGGGCCUUCGGGUGCCGACGAGUGGCGAACGGGUGAGUAACAUAUCGGAACGUACCUUUCAGUGGGGGAUAACGUAGCGAAAGUUACGCUAAUACCGCAUAUUCUGUGCGCAGGAAAGCAGGGGACCUUCGGGCCUUGCGCUGAUUGAGCGGCCGAUAUCAGAUUAGCUAGUUGGUGAGGUAAAGGCUCACCAAGGCGACGAUCUGUAGCGGGUCUGAGAGGAUGAUCCGCCACACUGGGACUGAGACACAGUCCAGCGUCCUACGGGAGGCAGAAGUGGGAAAUUUUGGACAAUGGGGGCAACCCUGAUCCAGCCAUGCCGCGUGAGUGAAGAAGGCCUUCGGGUUGUGAGGCUCUUUCGGCCGGGAAGAAAUCGUAUGGGCUAAUACCCUGUGCGGAUGACGGUACCGGCGUAAGAAGCACCGGCUAACUACGUGCCAGCCGCCGCAGUAACAC